rnacentral:lncRNA from 1 species
AAUUUAAGAGUUACACGAUUUGUCGAAGUUAAGCUUGUUAAAUGCAAGCAUGACGAUCACCUAGCAAUGCGUGCAAUUGCAUAGAGUGCACCUUGACCCAGCAGACCUGGCUUUGAUCGCGGUUAGAAUUUGCGUGCGAAUCAAGAUUAAGUAUCCAGUUGGCCCAGCUAACCUUUAGUGCGUAAUACACCGUGUCUCUUUACCUACAGAGAAUAAGAUGAUAAUGCUUGAUAAUAAAAAAUGGUUAAAACUCUAUAGAGUUUCAAAAAAUAUUCAGAUUAAUAAACGAGAAACAAGGUCGAUAAGAUUGGACAUCGGUUUACGAUCGUGCACCUACCGUGCAUCCAUGUCUUUCCAACAGGCUGAUUUAUGCGUUGGUUAAACCUCUUUCGAGGAUCAUACUGGGGGCUUCUGAUGACUGAAACUCGGUUUACGCUCGCUUCGAUCAACUUCGAUCAAGUCUAUAUAAUUCAUAUCUGCAUCUUCGUUUUAACAAGGGAAAUUGGAUAUAUCAAUGGAAUGCAAUUACUUCACGAAUGAUAAUAAAAGGAAGGCGUUUCAUUUCUUUUUUUUUUUUCAAAUCAAAUUUUUUUGAAGAUUUCUGGUUGCCAAAUUUUGAAAAGUUAAAAAAUUUUCUAUUUUUAUAUUCGAACCAAUAGAAUACAGUAAUUCCAUCAGAAAAAGGUUCAAAAGAAAGGCUUUUCGCGAUUCCUCAUGCUAACAGAGUUACAUAGGCCACGUAGAGGAAAGUCGGCACCUUGAAAACGAGCAUUGACUAUGCCCACGGAAGAAGGUCGGCCGGUUUUAGUUCGCGUUAUAUUUAUCGCCGCUUGUAAUCGAUAGUUCGUCUCUCAGGUAAACAGUGUAGGAGCAAUCGUUAUUUCGGGGAGAAGAGUAUGUCGCCGCAUUGGCCCCGUACUUGAACCACUUUCCGCACAAUUCUAAACGCGAUUAAGACCAGCUUCGCGCGUCAUCGGUACAAACAGCGAUUCCAUCACAAUUUACAU